rnacentral:lncRNA from 1 species
UUUUUUUUUUUUUUUAUGACUAAAAACUCGUAUGUAAGUACAACCUAUCACUUAUAUGAUAUUUUUGAAACUCUAAAUACAUUUGAAUUUCAUUUUUAUCUUUGAAAUUUAUAGUUUUCUUUCAAAGGAAAUUUUAAAAUUUAGAUACUGAUCGGAAUUUGAAGUCUCUAAUUCUAGUAAUUAUUAUAGGUGCCUUUGUCCAUACUCUUUCUUGAAAGGGAGAGUAGGUAUCCAUCCCUUUUCUCAUUGGCUAUAUCUUGCGAUUUAUUUCCCAUGCCGUCCAAUGCCAUCUAAGAAAGUACUACGUAUUGAAUAUAGAAGACAAGAAUCUUUAGCAUGUUGGUCCUUUCGCUGCUGAGAAAAUACCAAAUCUCCAGCUGCUGCAGACGUUGAUAGUUUGGCUCCCAAGUGGCUCUUGUGGACGGCCUUAAAUCUUAUCCACUUUCUUUUUGAUCUUCAUGCACUUUUAGGACCAUAUUUAGGAAAUGUACUAGAGUAGAGUGACUGGUAAACAUCUACAUAAGGGACAGAAAUGUGAGAAUCAAACUUCAGGACCGUAUUUGGAGAGGAAUGGAGAUUGCUGCACCAAUUUUUGGCACUACACAUAAGAGUGACUGGGGGGUUGGGUUGGGUAGAUAUAAGUCUCCUACUGGCCUACUGGCUUGCCCUUGUGGGGUUGCCAUCCCACAUCGGUUCUGGGUUCUGGGGGGUUGGGUUGGGUUGGGUAGAUAUAAGUCUCGUGGGAGGCCUUUAAAAGUUGCCGGCUUUUGGAGGUUCUUCUGUCAUUGGAGAUGUCAGGAUCAAAAAUUGCAAUUUCGAUUUUGUGACCAAUGAUGCCUUGGUUUGUUGGAACUUGGAAUCACGCGUACAGAAAAUUUGCUGGACCACAGCCAGUUUCUUGGCUCUUUUUCAUUUCUUCUUUGGUUCAUUUUCAACUCAAAUGGGAGCUGAACACGCGUCAUUGGAUAUGUACAUUUCCAUUUCAGAUUUGAUAUUUUCUUUCAUGGUCGGUUUUGAUUCCGUACUCUUUUGAUUUCCUCAGGACAAGAAAGUCCAGUUGAAAUUCUAUGAUCCCUUUUGAAUUAGGCACGUUCUUGUGUUUUUCACACCAGCUAAAACUGCCAAAAGACCAGUCAUUUUUUUCAGCGAAACAGUUCAUCUUAUUGCAAUGGUCCUUGCUGGCUACAUGUAAAAAGCAAGGUUUGGUGGCCAUUCUCACCAAAUCUUGUGGCUCCUGAGUCUGCAGAAACGUAAUCACUUUUAACUCCCACAAGCUUCUGCUGGCCCUUUCUCUUUCCUUGAUGUGAUCUUUUCUCAACGUAGAAAAGGUGAAAAUGAAAGCACCUAUGAUUAACGUGCAAGCACCUAUAAUUAACGUGCAAGCAAUGUGGAUUAAGCACAAAUUAAUCUAUCCGCGCCUUCAAGGGCAAUACACAAGAAGGCGUGGAAUCUGGAUACUAUGACGCUUGGUCACUGACUUCUGUCUGUCUAAAGCGCGUCCAGCAAAUGCUUGCAAGCUCAUUUACAUCUUGUGGUCUGUGGAAGCCAAGGAGAAAUGAACCUGCUGAAUAUAAAUUGCUAGCUGUUUUCGUCGUCUUUGUUACCAAUCGCUGCAUGAAUGGGGUAAAACAGGUCCAUUCUUGUGCAUGUGCUGGGGUUCUUUCCAUGUAUUCUUGAAUCAAGUCUGUCUCAUGAUAUGAAAGUUCUUGUGACAAGUCCAUUCCAAGAAACUAUAAACAAAAUUAUGACUGAAUUAAGCACUUUGAGGUUUGAAUUUGAUAUACAAGAGAGUGAAGAUUCGCACAACUGCACGAGAAAGUUACUUACGUCACAUUCUUCCUAAAAUUGCCAGGAUGAAUGCCUUGAACAUCAGACAUAAACACAAUGAUUAUGCAUUCUUAGCAAACUUCAGCAUUGAGAUGCAGCAGGUCCUGUGAAAAAAUGUUUCCAGGGGAUGAAUCAAUGCUCGUGGGGAAAAGUAUAAGCAUUUGAUUUUUCCUCUCCAACACUGACAUGAAGAACAAGAGGAGUUCUCCUCUAAACUGUAAUGGAAUGUGAACUUAUAUAUUGCAACAGAGACGGAUAAUAUAAAAACAAAACCAAAGGUGGCCUGUCUGUUUACAGAUAUCUCAUACUACGUAUCUUCCAGUAGAGAUAGUACCAUUCGUAAAUGUCACAAUCAUACAGCUCCAUUGUGAUAAAUAUCCUGAGUGCUGCUUAGUGUUUUAGAAUCCAUUCAAUUUAACAAAAUAAUUCAGGUUAACAAGUACAGCAUCCACUUUUUACUUUUCUCUUCAAGAGUCUGCAAUUGGGAAAGCAGAACCGAGUUUGUUCCCCAAACGAUAGCACUUCACAUUGACAGGAUAUGGACCAAGCUCAACUUGAUUAUCUUCUCCACCCACAAAGAAACAUAGAGUAUAAAGCGCAACUUCAAACUCAGGACUCACUCCUACCAAACAGCUUGAAACAGAUUUCAGAACA